AGGCUGAGAGGGACGGCCCACCCAACAGAAGCCACAACAGGUCCCCAAAGAAUUUCUGCAGGCUGGGACUCCUGAGUGAAAUGAAGAAGUGGGAUUCAACAGAGAGAAAUGUGAAGUCUGCCAGCUAGCCCUGAGAAGCAGGCAUGACAAGAGAGGAUGCCCGUGUUACAGAUGAGAAAAACAGAGGCCCUGGGAGGAAGCUUGCCUAAUGCCACUCAGGAGGUAGAGGCAAAGCUGGGAAAGGCCCUGGGUCCCCAGACUGCCCCUCUGGAACUCCACAUGCAGCCACCUGGCUGUCCUGCCCGGGAUGCCAUCCGCAGGCUAGGCUGGCGCUCAUGCCCAUGCCCUGCUGUCCACUGACACCCCGCAGAGCUUAACACCCCGCUGAGCCUGCCCUGCAGCCCUUGCCAAGUCUGUCCGAGUGGCCUCAGUCAUUGGCAAGUCACAUUGCUGACAUCGCAACUGCAUAAAAUUAAUUUAUUUAGUUAAAAAAAAAAAAAAAAAAAA
rnacentral:lncRNA from 1 species